AACCGAUUCACGGCCCAUGCUGACUUUGU
rnacentral:piRNA from 1 species